rnacentral:rRNA from 1 species
ACCCUGAUCAGCCAUGCCGCGUGCGGGAGAAGGCCUUCGGGUUGUAAACCGCUUUUGUUCGGGAAGAAAUCCUCUGGGCUAAUACCCUGGGGGGAUGACGGUACCGAGAAGAAUAAGCACCGGCUAACUACGUGCCAGCAGCCGCGGUAAUACGUAGGGUGCAGAGCGUUAAUCGGAAUUACUGGGCGUAAAGCGUGCGCAGGCGGUUGUGCAAGACCGAUGUGAAAUCCCCGGGCUUAACCUGGGAACUGCAUUUGAGACUGCACGGCUAGAGUGCGGCAGAGGGGAGUGGAAUUCCGGGUGUAGCAGUGAAAUGCGUAGAUAUGCGGAGGAACACCGAUGGCGAAGGCAGCUCCCUGGGCCUGCACUGACGCUCAUGCACGAAAGCGUGGGGAGCAAACAGGAUUAGAUACCCUGGUAGUCCACGCCCUAAACGAUGUCAACUGGUUGUUG